rnacentral:rRNA from 1 species
CGUGUAGGCGGCUGAGUAAGUCAGAUGUGAAAGCCCCAGGCUCAACCUGGGAAGUGCAUUUGAAACUGCUCAGCUCGAGUGAGAGAGGGGAAAGUGGAAUUCCUGGUGUAGAGGUGAAAUUCGUAGAUAUCAGGAGGAACACCCGUGGCGAAGGCGGCUUUCUGGCUCUUUACUGACGCUGAGACGCGAAAGCGUGGGGAGCAAACAGGAUUAGAUACCCUGGUAGUCC